AAAGUCGUAACAAGGUUUCCGUAGGUGAACCUGCGGAAGGAUCAUUAAAAAUAUAGCAAACCGAGCGUUAGCGAGGUUUUGCGAUCAAAAUGUAUUUAAAACCCAACACUUUGAAUCAAAAAUAUAUAUUAUGUAUCAUGAAUAAUUAAAAGAUCACUUUCAACAACGGAUCUCUUGGCUCUC
rnacentral:misc_RNA from 1 species